ACGCAUCCCCAUCAUCAUUACCGUCUUCCUAUCUUUGCCGUGCCCUGUCUCCCCACGGCUCAGACCUUCUUUCUCUCACGCCUGCGUGUGUUUUCCGCGUGCGUUGCCCGAGCGUACAGCUUUUGGUUUGCUCGCGCCGAGUUGUUUUCUUCUCCUUCGGUCUCCUUUUUUUUUGUUUGCUUGUAAGGGCCCUUGCCAGUAUUGUUUUGUUGUUGCUGUUGUUGUUGUUUUCCGCUCCGUUCCCUCUCUCCUUCCCUGCUCCUCCUCUGACCCGGCGUAGGUGUGCGCGUGUGUGCGUGCGCGCGCGCGUUUUCUUUUCGGAGUGCGCAGGUGCGCUGGACACCGCCUUUUGUCUCGCAUCGAUCUCUCCCGCCCACCCACACACACACGUGCAAUCCAAUAGUGCACACACGCACAUCCUCUCCUUCUCUUGUUUCUCCAUGUUUGUUGGGCUUUUCCGUUUGGCGUUUUCGCUCUAACUCGCUUUGCCGGCUCGCUGUUGCCCCUCCGCUUUCUCCUUCCCUCAACAGUUCUGGUUGAAUGACUUUGUUGUCCGUGCUCACACGCAUGCCUGUGUGUGUGUGAGUGAGUGAGUGGUUGUCUGUGUUGUCCACCAUCUCUUCCGACCUCUUUCAACAGCAAGCCCUCUUUUGUUUCGCUUUCUUCCUGGGGUUGUGCUCCCCCUCCAUCUGUCAUUUUGCCGUACGCCGUACAUACACACACACACACACACCACGCACUCACGCCCGCACAUCAGCGAGCUCCCCCUCCCCUUUCGUGCUUUCUUGCCUUUCCUGUGGUUUGGCUUGCUCCCCUCUUAUCUGUCGGUCUGCCUUUUCUGUUUGCCGCUCUUUGCCACAGGCCGCAGAGGGAAAAGCUCGUCUUUCGUUCUUGUGAGCGUCUGCUUCCCGUAUAUUUCGUCGCGUGGCUUUCUCUUGCGCUCUGCGCGUGUGCGAGUGCCUGGGAGCGCAGACUUCCUUAUACUCUGUGCAACUUCACGCGUCUCUGUCUCCGUUCCUUCUCCACGGUAUUGUUCUCUCUUCUCCCCUUUUUUUUUUGCUGCUCCAGAGGCGGUGAGUGCAACAGGAAGCUGCGUCGGUGGAAAGCGGACAGAUAGUGUGGCUCGGUGCCCUAUACAGUCCGCCAAUCGACGUCGAGGAGGGUAGCUUCUUUUUUCGGUCAGCGUGCAACGCGCGCGUGUGUGUGUGCGGGGGGGGGUUGUGAUGUUGAAUCUGCAGGUGGGCGCAUUUGUGUACAUCCUCACAUAUUUGCUCUCCUGUAUCCCCGUACGCGCACACGGACACGCACGCGCGCUGACGUGCUCUACAAAUUCAAAACGGUCCCCCGGUGCUUCCGUGUCUGCGAUUGGUUUUGUUCUCGACUGUGUGUGUGUGCAUGCACAUGUGAGCUCUGAUGAACGCAGAGAACCCCAUGGGAAACUCGAGCGCGCGGAUACGCUCCGACGCGCCGAUUACAUCGUCGACAGCAACGUCACAGGACCGGGCCAACAGCAUGCCGCCCCCCACGACGCUUCCGCCCAACACCACUUCGCUGAAUGGGCCUCUGCUCCCUCUGUCGGGGACGCGGCGGCCACCGCGUCGGCUUGCGCGCCAGACCAAAACCCCACCUACCCCACCUACGCAGCACCCACCCAAUCAGCCAACAGCGCUCACCUUGUCGCCACUGAUGCUGCUUGAGCGGCAGCAGCUGGUGCAGGCGCUGCAGCUGCGUUACCACUGUUCAGCUGCCUGCGCCAUCUCCACCGUGAACAGUUAUUACCCCGACGAAGAAAAAUGCCGGGCGACGGUUCAAGGCAAAAUGACCGCUCCGUUCGUGUUGGCCGUUGGGAUGGUGCCGAAACAGCGCGAGUAUGUCGACAGCCUGCGCGACGACCUCGCCGCUGCCUUUCGGCACUUUCCAUAUCUGAACGGUACUGCAAAGCCGCAGGACGAAGAAGAGCAAAAAGGAUGUGCCAAGGCCGUCGCCAGCGGCGAGAGGGGCAGCAAUGGUACUGUGUCGUCGCCGGCUUCUAUUGACUGGGCGGAGGUGCGGGCUUGCCUCCUGUCACCCAAGAAGGCGCCGCUCUGGUACAUGCACACAGAACUGGUGUUUCCCGGAGCCGCACACGAUGUGCGCAUCUACGAGAAUGCCUACCAGAGCCUCAUUGUCAAAGAAGGCUUUUCGUACGUUAUUGGCUGCUACGCUUCCGGCGAUGGCGUGGUGCCGGCCCUCGACUAUGUCAAUGCUCGGCUGUGCGGCGAGUCUGUUCAGUCUCUCGCCCAGCGCAUGGGCUUUGACGAGGACGUCGUGGAGGCACUCGAUGGUCUUGAGGCGGAGGUGCCCACCUGUGUCUACACGCGCGUGAACGCGUUUGGCAACAACCCCGCCACAUCGCGCUCCUCCCGACAGGACAAGGGUCACGCGCAGCAGGUGCUCAAGGAAUCGGGGCUUGCCUACGUUCGGUCCUACGUGACGACACGCGCCGAUGAAGCGGUGGCAAAGGUGGAAGAUGGCACAUUGCUGCUUCCAGUCGUGGUGAAGCCAAACUCCGGCGCCGGGUCAGAGUUUGUGACGCUGUGUCACACCGUGGAUGACAUCCGCGUCGCCUUUUCGAUGGUAAAGGGCGUCCGGACCUCGCAAGGCACAGACGCGGCGCAGCUCGUUGUGGAGGAGUAUAUCGAGGGUCCCGAGUACGUCGUGAACACGGUGAGCUACCAAGGCGUGCACGUCGUUACGGAUGUCUGGGAGAGCUGGAAGUACCCAGAACCAGUGGUCACCACAGGCUUGACGCGCAGCGCCGAGGAGGCGCUGCGCACCGCCGGCAUCGAGCGCCAAAAGCAGCGCAAGAUAUCCAUCCUGUACGACAGGCAGACCCUCAUCACCAAUCUGGCAGACCUGCCGGCGACCCACAGCGCACGACGGAUCGUCGAGUACACGCUCAAGUGCCUCGAUGCGCUGGGACUCCAGAACGGCUGCGGGCACAGCGAGGUGCGCCUUGACACCCGAAAGACGGCGCGCGAAUUGCGACAUCACGAGCAGCGGCGACUGAAGACGAACAACCCUUUGGGCAAGGUCAAAGACGAGCGCCUCGAUGAAGGAGAACCCAUCUUGAUUGAGCUCAACUCUCGCAUGCAAGGCGACAUCCCACGCAGCACCGACGUAAUCGGCUACGACCAGUAUUCGCUGCUCGUGUACAUCUCAGAGGCCGUGAACGUGUUCGGUGCGGCCACGGCCGCCUCCACGGCGCUGCCCUUCCGCGUCGACUCGUCGCGGCCGCAGCGUGUGGGUGAGAUCCCGUGGCCGCCUGUGCCGCGCCUAUACCGUGCUAGGCCCUCCACCGGGCCACCUAUGGCAACAACUGUGCUGUUCCUGGCGACGAAGGAGGAGUGCAUCCUCAACGGCGUUGCCCUGCGCACUCUCACAGAGCUCGGCACCUUUCGGCGCUUUACCCGAACCAUCUUCAAGCCGAAUCAGCCCGGCUUUGUCACGCCCCUGCGCCACACCGUCGAUCUCUUCUCCAGCCCCACGUCGUGUGUCAUGCAGGGCCCUGCUGCAGAGGUGGAGGCCGACUGCGCAGCCAUCCGGUCCAUGGAGUCGGCAACGCUCUGCUCGGCGGCGAAGGCGGCGCUCUUCAAACUCACCUCCACGAUUCACGAGACGGAGCGGCUGCGCGAGAACGCUCGCAUUAUCGACGGGCGACUGCGCACCAUGACGGAGGCCUAUCGCCACGCCUCCGCUCAGGCGGGAUCAUCGACCGAUGAGACCGCCGACGAGAGAAGGGAGAAGGACGAGCAGGACACGGAGAAUGACAGCUGCUCCUCUCAGCAUGACUUGGAGGCGCUAAGGAGCAGCAUCUCCUCCCUUCAGUCGGAGCUGACGUGGGUGACGAACAACCUCGCCGCCGAUGAUAGACAAGCGCAACUCUUGAGAACCGAGUUUGCGAAGGCGCUGGCGAGUCAGAAGCCCGCCCCGCUGUACGUUAACUACCAGGACUUCUCAAUGAUGAAGGCGGCUGGUGUCGGCAAUGAGCUGGCUGUCAUGUAAUGGCCUAGUGGGCGUGCUGUAGCACGCGACGCUCGUCCUCUUUAGCCUUUCCAGCGCUGUCCGGGCGAAGCUAGUGCCGACGUGCUGAGUCGGUGUGCGUAGGCGCGGGUGCACAUCGGUGUGCACUUUAGCGCUCUCCCUCUUUCUGAGUUUUCUCUUUUUUUACUCUUUGCCUUCUCUCUCCACGGAUCCUUCCUCAGAGGGUGCACCUCGCUGUAGAAGGUCGUUGUAAGGGGAGGGGGGCGUUGAGGGUGGAGGGGCGGCCAGCACCACGCCGACCCGCAUUUCUCCCCUUGUGGUUUCAAAUCUCUGCGGAUGCCG
rnacentral:misc_RNA from 1 species